GUGAGGAAUAUUGCGCAAUGGAGGCAACUCUGACGCAGCCAUGCCGCGUGCAGGAAGAAGGCGCUACGCGUUGUAAACUACUUUUAACCGGGAAGAAACCCCAGGACGUGUCCUGGGUUGACGGUACCGGAGGAAUAAGCACCGGCUAACUUCGUGCCAGCAGCCGCGGUAAUACGAAGGGUGCAAGCGUUAUCCGGAUUCAUUGGGUUUAAAGGGUGCGUAGGCGGAGCGUUAAGUCAGUGGUGAAAUCCUGCAGCUUAACUGUAGACUUGCCAUUGAUACUGGCGCUCUUGAGUGCGCUUGAAGUGGGCGGAAUGUGCCGUGUAGCGGUGAAAUGCUUAGAUAUGGCACAGAACACCAAUUGCGAAGGCAGCUCACUAAGGCGAUACUGACGCUGAGGCACGAAAGCGUGGGGAUCGAACAGGAUUAGAAACCCUUGUAGUCC
rnacentral:rRNA from 1 species